rnacentral:rRNA from 1 species
UACGUAGGGUGCAAGCGUUGUCCGGAAUUAUUGGGCGUAAAGAGCUCGUAGGCGGUUUGUUGCGUCGGCUGUGAAAUCCCGAGGCUCAACCUCGGGUCUGCAGUCGAUACGAGCAAACUAGAGUGUUGCAGGGGAGACUGGAAUUCCUGGUGUAGCGGUGAAAUGCGCAGAUAUCAGGAGGAACACCAGUGGCGAAGCGGUACUCUGGGCCGGAACUGACGCUGAGGAGCGAAAGCGUGGGUAGCGAACAGG